rnacentral:lncRNA from 1 species
CUGAGAUUAAACACUGCUAUGCUGUUGCUUCUAGACUUGCAUGUUUUUGCUAUCCUACCUGUGUCAAUGUUAGUGGCUUUUUGGAGUCAAAUAGUUUAUUCUGCAGCUCCUCAGUGUGACAUCUGGAAACCUACCAGGUUAAAUGGAUAGUCAGCGACAAAUGCAGGAUCUUCAAAAUACUUUCUACAGAAAGCUGUUCCUGGGGGGAGAAUUCAGUGGAAUAUGGCUAACACUGAAGGAGGUCUUAUCUUUGGUAAAAGCAAUAGUGCUAGGAUUCUUGUUCCUUUUCUGGGCAAGUGCUGGCCAUGCCAUGGACUGCAGUCUGACAACAAGCCCUUUACAAGCUCUUUGCCACGAUUCAGUGAUCAUCUUUAAUCUGUAUAAUUCUGUUAUUUUCUCUGCUUACUCCCACUUAAGAAUGGCAAUAUCUACAGGUCAUGAGUGAAGGAAAAGUUCUGGGGAGUGCUGUUCUGAUGGUACUUGUCCCAGGCAAUGUGACUUUAUAACUGGGUGCUUACAGAAGAGUAAUUUCAGUUAAUCUAAUAAUUAGCAGUUUCAAGGAAUCCAUGGGAACCAGAGCUUUCUGUUGUAUUCUGUCUUUGUGAGUGGCGAUGUUUGGAUCAGUUUACUGACAUUGCACACCCUAGUGAGCAUAUACUCUAACAUCGAAGAACAGGCUAGUGCUGUGAUACUUCAAACAGUGUGGAAAAAAGCAUUCAGCUAUUGUUUUAAAUUGUCAUUGCUG